rnacentral:rRNA from 1 species
UACAGAGGUCUCAAGCGUUGCUCGGAUUCAUUGGGCGUAAAGGGUGUGUAGGCGGUUCUCUAAGUCUGGUGUGAAAUCUCCCGGCUCAACUGGGAGGGUGCGCCGAAAACUGGAGGACUAGAGUGCGGGAUGGGAGAGUGGAAUUCCUGGUGUAGCGGUGAAAUGCGUAGAUAUCAGGAGGAACACCUGUGGUGUAGACGGCUCUCUGGACCGCAACUGACGCUGAGACACGAAAGCGUGGGUAGCAAACAGG